rnacentral:lncRNA from 1 species
GGACAAGGCCCGGGCGGCACAGGCCGCUCCACGGCACAGUGCCAGUCCUGGUAUGGACACCCAGAGCAGGAUGGAGAUGGGGCAGGGUGCUGCCCCCGAGGUAUUGUGGUGUGCCUCCUGACGCCCAUCCUCACAAUGCUGCAGGGCCCCUGGUGAAGGCAAAGACUGUGAAGAAGCCGGAGGGCACAGAUACCCCCCGCACCUCUCGUGCCAGUGCUCUCCAGGCAGUGGCUGCCUCGGUGCAGAGAGCGGUGGCUGUGGCAGGUGGUGAGGUGCCCGUCAGCCGUGGGGCCAUCGAGGGCAUCCUCAUUAAACACGUGCUGGACCCAAACAGCUCCAAGAUGGGCAGCAGAGCUGGUGACAAGCCAUAUACCCCAACUGCCUGCGAGGAGCCAGAGGCCAGGAGCAGAAGCCACAGCCUGAAGCCUCCCGCCCAGCCCAAGAACAGGGAACCACAAUUGCACCCCCAGGGCCAGCUGCAAGCAGCCACUGUCUACAGCCAGGACCCUGCGCCCCACCAGGUGAGCCCUCGAUGUGACACCUGGUGCAGCCCCAGGAGGAACUGUUGGGGUUCCCCUGGCAUGUUCAUUUGCCUUGGCCAUGAAAAGAAAACACAGGGUUCAGCUCCUGGGGGUUCACCACAUUACAACCCCCAAGAAACAGGCAAUCUUACCACCCUGAAAGGAUUGGUAUGUUUGGUGCAGGGUGGGUGAUGCAGGGGGAGAGGGCAAGGGCGGUGAAAUACCUGGCCACAGCCAUGGAUUCAGCCCGUGAGGGUGGCAGUGACCCCUGCCCACUCCCCCGGGGACAGGAGAAUGAGGAUGAGUGUGCAGCAUGCGGUGACGGUGGUGAGCUCAUCUGCUGUGACGGCUGCCCCAGGGCCUUUCACCUUGCCUGCCUGGUGCCCCCGCUGCCCCACGUCCCCAGGUGAGUCCCAGGCACGCAGCGAUGCCAGUGCCCCCGCUGCCCCACGUCCCCAGGUGAGUCCCAGGCACGCAGCGAUGCCAGUGCCCCCUGCCGUCCCUC